CCUCCGACAGCGAAGAAGAAGUGGCGGAGUAAAAGAAGAAGAAGGGAGCGCAGAGCUGGAGUUAGCAGGGUGUCAUCGAGGUCUGUUGCCAUGGAGGACCAUGCUGACGUUGCCAUGGAGAACAAGACAGAGGUCCCAGCCUCCGACGCCCCGUCCUCUCCUGACAAAGAGCCGGCAAAGCCCGCUGCGCGUCAGCCACACCGCCGCACCUUAGGGAGGAGGGGCCAGAGAGCAAAAAGGCGGGGUCAUAUAGAGAAAAAGCGGGGUCAGAAAUCGAAGAGGCGGGGCCAGGAGGACAAGAAGGAGGGCGUGACGGUGAAGAGGACGUGGAGCGGCGGGAAGCGCCGUUGGGACAAGAAGCAUUACUGCGUGUUCUGCCGACGGCCACAGGUGAAGAUCGCACGCCACCUGCUGAGGAAGCAUGCCGACGAACAGGAAGUACUGGCUGCCAGCACCCUGCCGACAGGCUCCAAAGAACGCCACCUGCUGCUGGAGCACCUGCGCUGCCGAGGCAACUAUCUACACAACAUCGAGGUGAUCCGGCAGGGCACUGGUGAGAUUGUGCCAUGGCGUCAGCCCUCUGAGGAUGUGGAUGCGAGGAACUACCUGCCAUGCCCAUUGUGUCUUGGAUUUUUCCUUCGUGCUGACCUGUGGAAGCAUCAGGUGUCGUGUCGCAAGAAGCUCGCCAUCAACCCGUCCAAAGCCGAGGCAAACGCUGACCCCGCCAACGACGCCACCUCUGGUUCCACAAGUAAGUUGCCCUGUGAUGUCACCAGAGAGGACAUACCUGAGGAUUCCCUUGGUGAGACUGCAGAGACCGGGACCAAACAGCUUAUGACCUCUGACCCAAGUGUCGAUCAGAACACAACCUCUGACCCCGCUGUGAACCGAGCCAGGAAACGGACCAGAGUGCAGGCAGCAGCAUCGCGGCUCCUGCCGAUCUCCAGUGGAGCGUCUGAGAGCUGCAGUGAAAUCCUGCAUCGCAUGAACCAAGAUAAUGUGUCUUACGAGGUGAAGUCUGAUUGGCUGAUCUGUAAGUAUGGCAACAAGCUGAUGGGGAACCAGGAUAGUGGUCAGAGGAGGUACGACUACGUAAGCCAGAAGCUCCGGGAACUUGGCAGGUUGCUCCUGGCCGCUAAAUCCCUUGACUCCGGCGUCCAGAGCCUUCAGGACCUGCUGGCCCCAGGUCGCCUCAGCUUGGCGCUGUCCGCGGCCAGGAAGGCAGCGGGAAACAGGUGGAGCCGCCCUCCACUGGCGGUGAAAACAACACUAAAGACAGUCUGUGAGAUUGCUAUCGGAGAGAGCCUGCAGGACGGAGACUGGGAGGCUGCCGCCAAGACCACCGACUUCUACCACAUGCUGGGCCGGGAGUGGGACAACCUGGGCCUGCAGAACCCAGAUCCAGCUGCUACAGAUGGAGGAACUAAACCAAAGAAACGACCUGUCCAGAUAAGACUGGACAACGACCUCAGACAAGAAGUUCUGUCAAAGAGCUCUAACAAACCAGUGACCUCUGCGAUUCCACCUGAAGCCAGAAUGCAAACAUCUGUCUCAGUCCCUGUGGCUCCCAGGAAGGUCCGACGGCGGCCGUGGUCCUCUGCAGAGAAGGAGGCCAUCUGGAGGCAAUUAGGAGUCCAUGUUCUGGUCCAGUCCGUACCAGGUAAGGAGGUCUGUCAGCGCUGUCUGGACUUAGAACCAGUCCUCAGGGGGCGGCACUGGAAGGACAUCAAGAACCAGGUUCACAACCAAAUCCAGAGCCAAAAGAAGCAGCAGUUCCACGCUCAGAUGGAACUCGAGAAGAACCAGGAUCACCAAGACCAGCUCCAGAACCAGAAAAAGCCAGAGCAGCAGCAGUACCAGCCUCCAGUCGAUGAACAGGUAAAAGACCACCGUCUGAACCAGAAGAAACCACUAUACCAGUCCCAGAUGGACCAACAUGAUCCGGAUAUUUCUCGGAAUCAGAAGAGAUCACAAUACCACAUCGGCAUACACCACCAGGCCCAGGAUAGCAUCCAGAACCAGAAGAAACAACAGGAGCACGCCCAGCUGGAUCACCAGGACUAUCUACACAACCACAAGAAGCAGCUGUGUACCCCUAGAGUGGACCACCAGGACCACAGCCAGGUCCAUAAGAAGCAGCUGUAUCAGAUGGACCAGCAGGCCCAGCCCCUGCAGACCCUGGACCAGGAAACGUCUCUUCUAACCAUCACAACCUACAGACCUGAUGGGUCAAAUCGAGCUCCUGGACAUUUGCUGCUUGAGCGGGAGCACAACAUUACAACCUACCCAGUUCUGCACAGACCACCGGGACCUCACAUGGACCAGCUGCUGCCCAGAAUAGACUGGGCCGAGGAUGCUCCAGCCCCGAACUAUCCUAUCAGCAGGCCACUGGGCAGGACCCUGCUACAGGAUGUGCCCCCAGGAGGACCACCCUCUGACCCACAGUCGGGACAUGUACACUUCUGACCGGUCCAGGUCUAGAGGACUUAAUGAUAGGUUGGCCCUUCUCAAAGGGUGCAUAUCAGAUUUGGUAGUAAAAAGACCUGCUUUUAUGAUAACACAUGUAAACCUUUCUUAGAAGGUCCUUGGAUUUCCUGUGUGAAAUUAGUAUUUGCCUCCUACAGGACUAUAUACCCUAUACUAUAUACCCCCCCCCCCUCCCCCGUAUGUUCUGGCAGUUCCAAUGGGUCUGGUUCUGAUAUGUCAGUCUGGUCAGGAGAUGAACCUGGAUCCUGGUUGAGGUGCUGUUAGAUAGGUGAAACAGUUCAGCUGUGAUGUACCUGAGUUAUACCGACUACGUGCCAGUGCCUGAUCUUAUUAUAAAAGGCGGGUACCAAAAACCAAAACCAGCACCUUAGUGGUCCAGUGUUGGAGCCUUUGAUGUUACCUGUUCUGGGAGGAGCUCCUGCUGAAAGAUCACAGAUGGUAGCGUCAGUCGUCAGAUACUGUCUUCCAUAAUCAGAAUUUGCCCCAAAUGUAUCUUCAUAGGAAGAUUCAUAUGAACCAGCCCACAGCUCUACGUCUUAAACCUGUAGAACGGUGGGCUGGUUCUCUGAAGACGCUGAGGCAGAACCAGCUCUGUGUGAAAGAGCUAAUGAAGGGAUCAAGGCCCUUUGCCCUCAUUUAACCAUAAAGGUGUUUAAAGUUCUCUGUAUGUUUAGUAUAUGGUUCUCCUCACACUCCUCUGUGUGAUGAGCACUGGGGCACAACCCCUGACAGAGAGGCCAAACAGGUGGUUCUAAACGGUUCCUGCAGGUCCCUGGGAGUCCUGGUCUGUGGUGGUCCUGUGAUGGUACCACUGCAUCCUAAAAAUAGCAAGUUGUCAUGUCACAGGCUUAUUCCAGAAAGGAUGACAUUCAUUUUGACCUCAGUAUUCUACACACAGUACUGAAGAAGCUUCUCGGAUGAGAGGUGAAACGUCUUCAAGUAACUUAAAGAAGUCCAGACGCCUUUCUUUGCAAGCUCCUUUGACUACACACAGUACUCCAAAUCAAAAUUCUUAAAUGUUUAUUAAAACAUUUAAGAGAAAAAUAUAACACAUGCACAGGUAUUCUCAGCCUUUGUUAAAAUAUGUUGUUCAAGCACUUUUUGUCCGCAGUUACAGAAGAUCAGUGUUGGGCAGGGUUUUAAUAGUUUUGCACGCACACAUCAAUGAAAACUAAACACACUUUUGCUAUAAAGUCAGUUAAUUUUAGUUUUGUGAACACUCAUUACAGUUGUAGUUAUUUUCCUUUUUAUUUUUAUUUCCGCUAACGAAAAUGUUUUUUCACUUCUAGUUUUCGUUAACGAUAAUGACCUUGGUGUUGGGAAGGUUACUUUUAAAACGUAUUCCAUUACAGAUUACAGAUUACAUGCCCCAAAAUGUAUUUUGUAACAUAUUCCAUUACGUAGCUCAAUGAGAGUAACGUAUUCUGAAUACUUUGGAUUACUUAAUAUAUUAUCAUGCUUUUUACAACUAUGUGAAUGUACUAUUGCUGUGUGAUUUAUUACUAUUACUGAAGGUCCGCGACUAUUUACGGAUGAGAAGUAAAAAAGAGCCGCUAGGUGCUAAAAAAUAAAGCUUAGACUCAGACGUUAGAACAGGCUUCUCCCCGCAGCACGCCGUGUAAUAAAUACUCACAAAGAAAACGGCAGUCGUUACAACUUAUGUCUAAAAAUGCAUCAUUUCACGCAUCGUUAAAACACUCGACUCCGGGUAAAGGACGCGCAGCUGGAAACACUUCACGCAAGUCGAGCUGCCCGAGAUUCACAGAAUUUACAGAAAAUGUUACAUUUUUGUGAUUUAUAUCCUUAUCGGACGAUAGAAUUCUUAUAUCGGGAUAUGAGAUUUUGGUCAUAUCACACAUAUCUGACUAAUGCGUGUUCCGUGUCGGCUCGUAGCCAAAAAAAUAGCUUUACUUUGUUGUGUGGGUCAACUUUUCUUGCGAGAGACAGAGAGAGGCGUUGAAAGGCUGCUCCAACAGAACUUAUUGUUUUCGGAGGAAAACACGAACACAAUGUACAGUCGAGUCUUAACAGCUUACUUACAGCUGGGCUCAUCAGGCUCUCUUCUUGGCUGAAGUGGUUAUUAUUAUAUUUACAUGCUUCCAGCUCCCGUUUUUGCUCAAUGACAACUCGUACUUUUCCUUUUUCUCCCUCCUCGCGCUCACAGACACAUAACGGGUAUGGCAGUCCAUUCUCCCUGCAGCACGGACUACACUGCCCAUGAUGCUACAUUCUUUAGAGCUAUACCUGUAGCAUUAUGCCUGUUAGCUUAGCACAACAACAACAACAACAAAAAGGCGCUCUCUCACCCAGGAAACACACAGUCGCAGAGAGAGAGCGUCGCCCUGUAACCAUGGCAACCGUAACGCCUGGAACAACAGAACGUAGCUGUCAAACAAAACCAAACAGUCCUGACCCGCGACAAAAUGAAACAGGAAAGUACCGCAGUGUAAUCCAUUUAUUUCAACAAAGUAACUGUAUUCUGAAUACCACCUUUUUAAACGGUAACUGUAACGGAAUACAGUUACUCAUAUUUUGUAUUUUAAAUACGUAACGGCGGUACAUGUAUGCCGUUACUCCCCAACACUGCAGAAGAUGAACCUUCGCCCAAGCUCGAUGUCCAGCACACUUUUGGACCAGGUUAUGUCUCAUUCGUCUUUUCCUUCAGAGAGUCCUUCACAGGCCUUUGGGCAAACUCCAGGUGGGCUGUCGUAGCUGGUUUCCUUUAGCACCUACUCGCCUGAGCCCGCCUCUGUUUGUGUCGUGCUCUAUUACAUUUGAGUUUCACCUCAAUAUGUGUGGGGUUGUCAUGGGAACACAACCAACAUCCCAUGUGUCUAUGUGCCACAAACACAAUGGAUGACAUUGAGGCGAUGGUAUACCCGCUGCUUGGUCUGUGGGUGUUUGUCAGACUCGAGCACCAUGAUGUCAGUUUGUAGGUAACCCUUGUUGCCGAGUUUCAGAAAUGCCAGGUUUCAUCUAACUCGUGAUUCAUCUAAUGACACCGCUGGCUGGCCAAUUGGGGGCUUUUGAUGUCACAUUUUUAGACUGACUCUGCUCGGUUGGAAAGCCAGGCCAGCAUUUGCUAAAAAAGUACCUGGUACCAGGUACUACUCCCUGAUGGAAAGCCCUAGAAACUAGGUUGAGCUCAGCCGAGUAGGUACUAGAUGAGAGGCGCAGAAGAUUGCCCAGAUUGCAGACAUUACUGACAGACGAUCAGUGUGCACAGCUAAACAAACAUGAGUGUCGGGGCUGUGAGUACUUGUGUCCAUCUUAUACUUUAACAUGGACAGUCAGCUGACUGUGCAGAGGUGAAAAUGAAUGUCAUGGAAUAAGGCUGUAACGUGACAACACGAGGAACACUGAAUGCUUCCAGGAUGAUGUGCAGAGAUCAUCUAUGAUGUUUCUGUGUCUCCUGCUCGUCUCCCUUUAAUCUGUCUUCAUCCACCCCUCAGUGUUCCUGCUGUCCUCUCGUCUUGAUGUCCCUGCAGCUCCACUUUAUCACCACUAGAUGGCAGACUUCUCCCUGUUUUUGGUCCCUGUUAGAGGAUAAGAACAUGUUCCAGUCCAGACUGCAAGCUGCUGCUUUUUCCUCCACAUGUCGCAUUUCUGAUGUCCUGUAGAGUCGCUGAUCCACAGGUGAUCGAUCCACAGCUGUGUCCUGCAGGAGGAGCACCAGCUCAGACACUGGAUGGCAGCAGGAGGCUCUGUGUGUGUUUAAUGUGUAAUAAAAGUGUCUGUAACUGUCCGGUGAUGGAGCCCUGUCACGCUCGGUCCUUUUAUUUCAUUAUAUCUGUUUCAAUAAACGCGUCCCCGCUCUGUGACGGUUCAGACUCGUGUUCUUCAGGAGCUGUAACUGUUAAGAGUUAAAGGUCCCACCUGCACAGGUUAGGAUGAUGUGCGGAGCACAUGGAGACACAGAGGCUUUUAUUUAUGCACAGGAAACAGAAUUGUGUUAUUCAUUAUGAUGAGGAUGAUGAUGGUGUGGCAUUAAGAAACAUGCAGAAUAAUCAUGAUAAGACCAAGUUUCCACAGAGACGAGGUCUGCGUUUGGACCUCAGCACGGCUGUGAUAGAAGAAAGUUGGGUUUAAGUCACUGCAGCAUAAACACAUCAUAAAUAAACUGUGUUAAUAAAGCAGAACACGAGGACCUGUCUGCUCUACUGUGAAGUCGAUCUGCAGGUUCAAACACACCUGAGCUACUCCCAGAGAGGAUCCAGCCAAUCAUGUUUCUGGUUUGUGAUUGGCUGAGCGGUCGACAGCCGCCGUGGUUAAACAGACUCGGUCUGUCUGGACUUGCAUCAUCCUCUCAGCUGUCA
ensembl:lncRNA